UACGUAGGGUGCGAGCGUUGUCCGGAAUUAUUGGGCGUAAAGAGCUUGUAGGCGGUCUGUCGCGUCUGCUGUGAAAAUCCGGGGCUCAACCCCGGACUUGCAGUGGGUACGGGCAGACUAGAGUGUGGUAGGGGAGACUGGAAUUCCUGGUGUAGCGGUGAAAUGCGCAGAUAUCAGGAGGAACACCGGAUGGCGAAGGCAGGUC
rnacentral:rRNA from 1 species